rnacentral:rRNA from 1 species
UCUAGUGUAUCGGUUGUCCGACAGGGCAUUGCCGAGCAGCCACGCGAUAAGGGAUAAAAGCUGAAAGCAUCUAAGCUUGAAACCCGACCUGAAAAGAGACUCCGUUGAGGGCACCGGUAAAAGACCGGUUUGAUAGGCUCGGGAUGUACGCACGAAGGUAACGACGUGCUCAGUCCGUCGAGUACUAACGCCCAAUCGCCGGAUAUG